CCCUUAGACGUUCUGGGCCGCACGCGCGCUACACUGACAAAGGUAACGAGCUACUCUUCACCGAAAGGUGUAGGUAAUCUUUUGAAACUUUGUCGUGCUGGGGAUAGAUCCUUGCAAUUUUUGAUCUUAAACGAGGAAUUCCUAGUAAGCGCAAGUCAUCAACUUGCGUUGAUUACGUCCCUGCCCUUUGUACACACCGCCCGUCGCUACUACCGAUUGAAUGGUUUAGUGAGGCCUUCGGAUCCGCGACUCGUUUGUGGAGAAGUUGGACAAACUCAGUCAUUUAGAGGAAGUAAAAGUCGUAACA
rnacentral:rRNA from 1 species